CUCUCUUCUCUCCAUUCUAUCUCUUCUCUCCCUUCUUUCUCUUCGUUUUCUUCUUUGGAGGAAAUAAAGGAGAAGUGGGGAGAAAGUGAAUUGAGCAGAGAGACAGAAAGAGAAGAGAAGAGAGAAGAGAUUGAUGUUGGAGGUGUUGUGAGUACAAUAACUCAAAUUGGUGAUGAGAUAUGGUGUGGAACAAAUGAAGGAAAAGUU
rnacentral:ribozyme from 13 species